CGCGGAGUAGAGCAGUUUGGUAGCUCGCAAGGCUCAUAACCUUGAGGUCUUGGUAAAAUAGAAAGUUCCAUA
rnacentral:tRNA from 1 species